rnacentral:rRNA from 1 species
UACGGAGGGUGCAAGCGUUAUCCGGAUUCACUGGGUUUAAAGGGUGUGUAGGCGGAUACUUAAGUCAGUGGUGAAAUCUCCGGGCUCAACCCGGAAACUGCCAUUGAUACUAUUUAUCUUGAAUUCUGUUGAGGUGGGCGGAAUACAUCAUGUAGCGGUGAAAUGCUUAGAUAUGAUGUAGAACACCGAUUGCGAAGGCAGCUCACUAAGCAGCGAUUGACGCUGAGGCACGAAAGCGUGGGGAUCAAACAGG